GACGAACGCUGGCGGCGUGCCUAAUACAUGCAAGUCGAACGCUGAAGGAGGAGCUUGCUUCUCUGGAUGAGUUGCGAACGGGUGAGUAACGCGUAGGUAACCUGCCUGGUAGCGGGGGAUAACUAUUGGAAACGAUAGCUAAUACCGCAUAAGAGUAGAUGUUGCAUGACAUUUGCUUAAAAGGUGCAAUUGCAUCACUACCAGAUGGACCUGCGUUGUAUUAGCUAGUUGGUGGGGUAACGGCUCACCAAGGCGACGAUACAUAGCCGACCUGAGAGGGUGAUCGGCCACACUGGGACUGAGACACGGCCCAGACUCCUACGGGAGGCAGCAGUAGGGAAUCUUCGGCAAUGGACGGAAGUCUGACCGAGCAACGCCGCGUGAGUGAAGAAGGUUGUCGGAUCGUAAAGCUCUGUUGUAAGAGAAGAACGAGUGUGAGAGUGGAAAGUUCACACUGUGACGGUAUCUUACCAGAAAGGGACGGCUAACUACGUG
rnacentral:rRNA from 1 species